rnacentral:rRNA from 1 species
GAUGAACGCUAGCGGCAGGCCUAACACAUGCAAGUCGAGGGGUAACUAGAGUGAUAGCAAUAUUACUUUGGCUAGACCGGCGCACGGGUGCGUAACACGUAUGCAACCUACCUUAUACUGGGGAAUAACUUCGAGAAAUCGGCGCUAAUACCCCAUAACAUUGCGAAGAGGCAUCUCUUUGCAAUUAAAGCUCCGGCGGUAUAAGAUGGGCAUGCGUCCAAUUAGCUAGUUGGUGAGGUAACGGCUCACCAAGGCUACGAUUGGUAGGGGUUCUGAGAGGAUGAUCCCCCACACUGGUACUGAGACACGGACCAGACUCCUACGGGAGGCAGCAGUGAGGAAUAUUGCGCAAUGGACGAAAGUCUGACGCAGCCAUGCCGCGUGCAGGAUGACGGCCCUAUGGGUUGUAAACUGCUUUUGUACGGGAAUAAACCCUUCUACGUGUAGGAGGAUGAAGGUACCGUAAGAAUAAGCACCGGCUAACUCCGUGCCAGCAGCCGCGGUAAAAC